rnacentral:rRNA from 1 species
GGAGGAAUAUUGGUCAAUGGGCGCAGGCCUGAACCAGCCAAGUCGCGUGAGGGAGGACGGUCCUACGGAUUGUAAACCUCUUUUGUCGGGGAGUAACGUGCGGGACGCGUCCCGUAUUGAGAGUACCCGAAGAAAAAGCAUCGGCUAAUUCCGUGCCAGCAGCCGCGGUAAUACGGAAGGUCCGGGCGUUAUCCGGAUUUAUUGGGUUUAAAGGGAGCGUAGGCCGGAGAUUAAGCGUGUUGUGAAAUGCCGCGGCUCAACCGUGGCACUGCAGCGCGAACUGGUUUUCUUGAGUGCGCGCGACGCAGGCGGAAUUCGUGGUGUAGCGGUGAAAUGCUUAGAUAUCACGAGGAACCCCGAUUGCAAGGCAGCUUGCGGGAGCGCAACUGACGCUGAAGCUCGAAGGUGCGGGUAUCGAACAGGAUUAGAUACCCUGGUAGU